UAACGCGAAGAACCUUACCUGGGUUUGACAUACACCGGAAAGCCUCAGAGAUGGGGCCCCUUUUGUCGGUGUACAGGUGGUGCAUGGCUGUCGUCAGCUCGUGUCGUGAGAUGUUGGGUUAAGUCCCGCAACGAGCGCAACCCUCGUUCUAUGUUGCCAGCACGUAAUGGUGGGGACUCAUAGGAGACUGCCGGGGUCAACUCGGAGGAAGGUGGGGAUGACGUCAAGUCAUCAUGCCCCUUAUGUCCAGGGCUUCACGCAUGCUACAAUGGCCGGUACAAAGGGCUGCGAUCCCGUAAGGGGGAGCGAAUCCCAAAAAGCCGGUCUCAGUUCGGAUUGGGGUCUGCAACUCGACCCCAUGAAGUCGGAGUCGCUAGUAAUCGCAGAUCAGCAACGCUGCGGUGAAUACGUUCCCGGGUCUUGUACACACCGA
rnacentral:rRNA from 1 species